rnacentral:lncRNA from 1 species
CACACAAUAUCUUCAUUGUUGGUCAAUAAACCCCCUUUUUGGACUUCUUUUUUCUAAAGCAAACUUUCGGCCUGUCAUUUGGUGCAGUUUCUGCUGGUGUAGUUUCUACUAGUUCUGCAAGUAUAGUUUCUACUUCUCCAACAUUGGGGGGCAAUCUCAGCCACUUAAACUCCCAAUGGUUGGAAUUCUACCAUUUCAUUUAGAAUCAAUGCAUUCUCCCCCUGAANGCCAACUUUAGGUUAAUAAAGCUAAUUCUUGAAGAAAGUCACAUCCAUAGUAUGGUAGAAAAAUUCAGUUGAGGGGAAAUAGCAUCUGUAUCCCUUUUGUUGAGGUGAGUAACCAACCAAAAUAUCUGAUGGAUUUUGAGACAAGUUCACUGUGGUGAGGGUUUAGGUUGUAAACAAAGGUUGAACAUCCCAAUAUUUUUGAGAGAAUCGAAGUGAAAAUUAUGUUGGUUGGGAAAAAUAUUGAUUGUAGAGUGAGGGGUGUUAAAGUUAAGAACAUAUUAGGUAGGUUGCCAAGAGGAAAUCUUCUCUCCAAAGCUAUUUUGGUACAUUUGCAGCCAAAAUUAGGGUUGAGGGAUCUAGUUACUUUUGGAAAGUGCCUACUUUUUCAUUUUGUGGUCCCAUUUUGUUAAGGUAUUUACAACNAGCUUUGGUGUAUAUUCCACGUGAAUUAAGGUAGGAAUUCAAUAUUGAGUGAGAAAAUUCAUGGCC